AGAUUACAACAGUUAGAUUGGGUCGUGGGUCGUCGUGGUGUUUAUUGAAUUUUUUCUUUCGUCAUUGAUUUUGGCUGAUAUUUUGGGAUUCUGACUUCAACAUAAAAAUGAUUUCCACAAGAGAGAGGUAUAAGAUGGAGGACGACAUAGACAUAGAGGAGCAUGAUCUGUUGAAAGACCCAGCGUUGAGGAGCGUGUUUCCAGAUCUUUCCGUUCUGAAAUAUGAAAUUGAUGAUUAUGAAAUUCAUACAGAAACAAGAGUUCUACAGGAGAUUAUAAAUAAAAACGAUUUGGACAGCACUUCAGACAU